UAGAAAAUUGUUAAUUUUGCA
rnacentral:miRNA from 1 species